rnacentral:rRNA from 1 species
UUUAUCGGAGAGUUUGAUCCUGGCUCAGGACGAACGCUGGCGGCGUGCCUAAUACAUGCAAGUCGAGCGGACUGAUGGGAGCUUGCUCCCAUCAGUCAGCGGCGGACGGGUGAGUAACACGUGGGUAACCUGCCUGUAAGACUGGGAUAACUCCGGGAAACCGGGGCUAAUACCGGAUAACUCAUUUC